GCGGUGCCGUACUCAGAAGGGGCCAGGUUGCUUAGACUGCACGUGACCUGCGCCAUUCUGAGUAUAGCAACGCU
rfam:Pteropus alecto contig42583, whole genome shotgun sequence.